rnacentral:tRNA from 1 species
CUUCGAUAGCUCAGUUGGUAGAGCGGUGGACUGUAGAUUGAUAAACUAACAUAUAAAUAUAUAACGAUGAAAAGAAAUCCAUAGGUCGCUGGUUCAAAUCCGGCUCGAAAGAA